AGAAUGUUGUCGAAGCAAAGAAAAGAACUAAGUCCAGUUUAGUCAAAAGUUUUGCUUUCUCACUUGUUUUCUCUUCCAUCUCUUAUCUCUUAAUUAGGUAGCAACGAAAAGCAAUCCAGAUGUUUACAUGAUGCCACGGGUGGGGCGUGGAGGUAGGCUUGACCACUUCCUCAAAGAAAGAGAAAGUCCUUUUUACAGACACCACCCAUAAAACUCUUUAUGACUUUUGACCGGAAACAAUUUAAAACUUAUAAGAAGGACAUGGAGUUAGUGACCUGGUGUACCAUGCUCCAUACUGUAUCAAGGCCAGAGCCACCAGGUUCCAGAUGCUACCAUGAUGGCAACCUGACUUCCCUGGGCAGAUGACCCCACCAGUGUGUCCUGGAGCCCCACCUCCCCAGAGCCCUGCCCCUCUAGGGAAAGAGAGACAGUCUGAGAGUAUGGAUUGACCUGUCAAUGCCCAUGUUCAGUGGGGAAACAAUUACAGAAGCCAGACCUUCCACCUCUGCACCCCAUAAGGACCCUGGGUCCAUACUCUCAGAGGGAUAAGGAACAGGGAAGCUAUCAGCAGAGGGGAUGGGUUACAGAGUUCUGGUGGUGGGAAUUGUGUGGAGUUGUACCCCUCUUAUCCUAUAGCCUUGUCAAUAUUCCCAUAUUAUAAAUAAAAUUUAAAAAAGAAAUAAAAACAAGAUACUGAUUCAUUUCUCAAAAAAAGAUAUAGCUAAAUGAUAUAUUUAAUCUUUUUUAAUACUACAGUCUACAAUAAAAUGAAAAAAAAAACCCUUUAACUUAUAUGAUAUAGAAAAUCAGAGGUGGCCGGGCGGUAGAGCACUGGAUUAAGUGCACAUAGUGUUAAGUGCAAGGACCCACCUGAAGAUCUGGGUUUGAGACCUCGGCUCCCAUGCAAGGGGGUUUGUUUGGGUUGCUUCACAAGUAGUAAAGCAG